rnacentral:rRNA from 2 species
ACGUAGCAACCAUAACGAAGGGGUCCACCUGAAACCAUUCCGAACUCAGCAGUUAAGCCCUUCAGUGCCGACGAUACCUCAAUGGGAAAAUAGGACGUUGCUUUUUU